rnacentral:rRNA from 1 species
AUUGAACGCUGGCGGCAGGCCUAACACAUGCAAGUCGAGCGAGCGGCGGACGGGGGAGUAAUGUAUGGGGACUGCCCGCUAGAGGGGGAUAACUACUGGAAACGGUAGCUAAUACCGCAUACUAUCGGAUAACCCAUAUGGGAUUAGCUAGUAGGUGAGGUAAUGGCUCACCUAGGCGACGAUCCCUAGCUGGGCUGCAAGGAUGAUCAGCCACACGGGGACUGAGACACGGCCCAGACUCCUACGGAGGCAGCAGUGGGGAAUAUUGGACAAUGGGCGCAAGCCUGAUGCAGCAAUGCCGCGUGUAUGAAGAAGGCCCUAGGGUUGUAAAGUACUUGCAGUAGGGAAGCGUUACCUACAGAAGAAGCACCGGCUAACUACGUGCCAGCAGCCGCGGUAAUUC